CUACGGGGGGCAGCAGUAGGGAAUCUUAGACAAUGGGGGAAACCCUGAUCUAGCCAUGCCGCGUGAGUGAUGAGGGCCUUAGGGUUGUAAAGCUCUUUCGCUGGGGAAGAUAAUGACGGUACCCAGUAAAGAAACCCCGGCUAACUCCGUGCCAGCAGCCGCGGUAAUACGGAGGGGGUUAGCGUUGUUCGGAAUUACUGGGCGUAAAGCGCGCGUAGGCGGGCUAUUAAGUCAGGGGUGAAAUCCCGGGGCUCAACCCCGGAACUGCCUUUGAUACUGGUAGUCUUGAGUUCGAGAGAGGUGAGUGGAAUUCCGAGUGUAGAAGUGAAAUUCGUAGAUAUUCGGAGGAACAUCAGUGGCGAAGGCGACUCACUGGCUCGAUACUGACGCUGAGGUGCGAAAGUGUGGGGAGCAAACAGGAUUAGAUACCCCCGUAGUC
rnacentral:rRNA from 1 species